CGAUCUCAUGAAUCGUAAAAUAGAAAAUAAAAGUAAAAAAAUAAAUAAAAAUGAUGUCCAGUCAUUUUCAUCAUAAAUAAAAGGACAUAGAAGUAGUUUUCAAAUAUUAAAUUCAAAAGAAAAUAUAACAAACAAAAUAAAUAAAUUAAUAAUAAUAAUAAUAUAUAAUUGUUUGUUGAGUUGAGGCAGUCACCGUGGACGUGCGUGUUUAUGAUGAUGUGGUAGAGAGAGAGAGUAAUAGGGUUUGAGAGUUGAGAGAUAGAAGGCUAAAAAUUAUAAGGUAAUGAUGAAAGAAUCGCAUUAAAGGCGGAGAAACUGUCCUCUAUAUGUGUGUGUGUGUCGUGGAAUGGAAACCCUUCUUCUCAUAAUCUUUAAUAAAUACUUAUUUUGUCUUCUUCUUGCUUGUUUCUUUGACUCACACUCAUUUCUACUUGGUUAACUUCAAACUGGUGGUAGCAGGUAACAGGGUCUGUUGGACCACCGUCACCACCACCUCAGUUCCGCUAUUUUCUCUCUCUCUCUGCUACAAAAUAUUAUAUAUAUAUAAAACACAGUCCACAGAUAUACUACUCACACCCCCGGAAAUCGAACACAUUAAUUCAAGAUACUCAACGUUUUAAACUAUUUAUUAAUUACUCUUAUUAUUUUAAGAUUCUUCUUUAGUAACUGAUCAUUUAGAUUAUUAAGAAAAAUAUAUACUGAUACAAUUAGCUUUUAAUUACUUUGUCAGUGACCAAAUCAAUAUAUCCAAUCCUUUUCAAACAAAAAAAAAAAUAUCAAUAUAAUCAAUAGGGCUUGUAUAUUCUUAAAAUGAUAAAGGGCUACUCCUUGUUAUCACCACCACAUCAAUUAAUCGUCUUUAAAAUAAUAAUUUUAAUAAUAUAUCCAGUGGGGACUUGUAUGUAUUCAUAUUAUUUUUCUUUGAAUUAAUUCUAUUUAAUUUUUUUAUGAGAUUUUUUUCAGUUUUAUAUUAUUUUAUUAGUGUAGUGUGUUAGCUAGGUGCUUCGGGUUUCGUUUUUUCCUUGUUUGUUAUUUAUUUAAAUGGAAUACCGUUUUGUACAAACCUAAUUUUUUAAUAUGUAAAUAAUCUCGACUUAAAAAACACCACUACGAUUGACAUUAAUGCCUAUAUUCUCUCUCCUAAAUUAAAAGCCUCUCUCUCUCUUUCUCUCUUUCUUCCGCUAUAAAUUUGAAAAAUAUAAGCUGCGGCUUUAGCUAGGGUUUUUUCAGAGUGGGGAAAACAAUGGUGUUGAGGGGAAUGUUGGCUGGCUCGAGGCUUUUUGCAUAGGCAGCAAGAGUUUUCUAUUAUCCAAAGAAAACAACUGUGUGUAAAAGGCUUCGGACCAGGCUUCAUUCCCCUCAAAUAACUUGAUUAAUAUUUCUUCUUCUUAUUAUUAUAAAACCUCAAUCUCUUCAAGCCUUUUUCAUCUCUUUUAUCAAACACUAUCCUUCCAGUACCCCUAUAAAAAUAUAUCUUGAUUUUUAUUUAUUAUUUUCUUCGAAUGUGAAUUAGGAUGAGAGGUAUGUUGUCUGGCUCGAGGACAUGGAGGUUGAUUCUCUAUAUGUAUUAAUAUAUAGCUUGAAACCCUAAAUGAUUCUCGGACCAGGCUUCAUUCCCCCCAACCAAAAUUUUCUUCUUAUACAUACAGAUCUAAUAUUAUCAGACGGAAGAUGAUUUAAUUUCUUAUCAGGGGUCGUACGUCUUCUCCUAUGUCUGCCCUUGUCUAUGUAAAAUAUAUCUGAAGAUUUUUUCAAUAUAGAGCUUUGUAAUAUUAUAUAUAUUAUAUGUCAAAAAACUUACUCUUUUUAAAUGAUAUGGAUUACCCU